UACGAAGGGGGGCUAGCGUUGCUCGGAAUCACUGGGCGUAAAGCGCACGUAGGCGGAUUGUUAAGUCAGGGGUGAAAUCCUGGAGCUCAACUCCAGAACUGCCUUUGAUACUGGCGAUCUCGAGUCCGGGAGAGGUGAGUGGAACUGCGAGUGUAGAGGUGAAAUUCGUAGAUAUUCGCAAGAACACCAGUGGCGAAGGCGGCUCACUGGCCCGGUACUGACGCUGAGGUGCGAAAGCGUGGGGAGCAACAGGA
rnacentral:rRNA from 1 species